rnacentral:snRNA from 1 species
AACACUUCUAGGCCUCUUGGCUAAGAUUAAGUGCAGUAUCUGUCCUUAUCAGUUUAGUAUCUGGUAUGUCCUUGCUGACAGGAUUUUAUAUUAAACAGAUUUUGGGGCCUGUGAGUUGGACCUGGAGCUUGCUCCCAUUAUUCCCAGGCAGGUGGUUGAGUUGCCAUCCCGG